GUGAGGAAUAUUGGUCAAUGGGCGGGAGCCUGAACCAGCCAAGUCGCGUGAAGGAAGAAGGAUCUAUGGUUCGUAAACUUCUUUUGCAGGGGAAUAAAGUGCGGGACGUGUCCUGUUUUGUAUGUACCCUGAGAAUAAGGAUCGGCUAACUCCGUGCCAGCAGCCGCGGUAAUACGGAGGAUCCGAGCGUUAUCCGGAUUUAUUGGGUUUAAAGGGUGCGUAGGUGGUUUGAUAAGUCAGCGGUGAAAGUUUGCAGCUUAACUGUAAAAAUGCCGUUGAAACUGUCGGACUUGAGUGUAAAUGAGGUAGGCGGAAUGCGUGGUGUAGCGGUGAAAUGCAUAGAUAACACGCAGAACUCCGAUUGCGAAGGCAGCUUACUAAGCUACAACUGACACUGAAGCACGAAAGCGUGGGGAUCAAACAGGAUUAGAAACCCGAGUAGUCU
rnacentral:rRNA from 1 species